rnacentral:misc_RNA from 1 species
GACGAACCGUCCAAACGUUAUUCGGAAUCACUGGGCUUAAAGGGUGCGUAGGCUGUGCGGUAAGUUAGGUGUGAAAGCCCUCGGCUCAACCGAGGAACUGCGCUUAAUACUGCCGUACUAGAGGGAGACAGGGGUAAGCGGAACUGAUGGUGGAGCGGUGAAAUGCGUUGAUAUCAUCAGGAACACCGGUGGCGUAAGCGGCUUACUGGGUCUCUUCUGACGCUGAUGCACGAAAGCUAGGGUAGCGAACGGG